UGAAGAGUCAAAGCAGGGAUCACAGAGCAGAGGCAAGCAGGGACAGCCAGCUUCCAGAUGAGAAAUAAUCCCUGUUGGAAGGGAAAGGUCCUGGAGAAGGAACUGAAGGGAAGGAUCAGGCUAUACAUGCCUUUAAAGGUUCCUGAGAGAAAGAGGGCUACUGCUGCUAAAUACUGGGAUUGACAGGGAAAGUUACAUGGAUCUCAAAAGAGUCAGUUGGAAGUUAACUGUCAUGGAACAGGCUGGCAGAAGAGGACUCAGACUAGAAGAUGGUUAACUAUAACUGACUGUGUUUUGAACUAUGUGCUGCUUGGAAAGGAAUGGGGUCAACUUUUGUUUUGCUUAUUUUUAUUUUGUGAAACAAUAAAUCCCAUUUUUUAAAUAUUUUGACUUUCUGUAUUGGGAAAUGCAUUCUCUAAAGCAUUUCCCACUAUCAAGGGCAAUAGCUAUUAUAAGAAAGGACUACUGGAGAUAAAUGGUGGCAGCACCGGAUACAGGGACCUUCACACAAGCACUGAGAUUUUAAA